AGGGAAAAGCUCAAAUUUAAAAUCUGGCUGUUUUAGUUAGCAGUCCGAGUUGUAGUUUAGAGAAGUGCUAUCCGCGUUGGCCUGUGCAUAAGUUUCUUGGAAAAGAACAUCAUAGAGGGUGACAAUCCCGUCUUUGGCACAGAUAACCAUUGCUUUUGUGAUGCGCUCUCAAC
rnacentral:rRNA from 1 species